GCUAAGGCUCUUUUCAGAGCCACAUACCUAAUUCAAAGUGACCUAA
rfam:Operophtera brumata OBRT01_Sc01994, whole genome shotgun sequence.